GAUUGAACGCUGGCGGUAUGCUUAACACAUGCAAGUCGAACGGAAACGAUACUAGCUUGCUAGUAGGCGUCGAGUGGCGGACGGGUGAGUAACGCGUAGGAAUCUGCCUGAUAGUGGGGGAUAGCCCGAAGAAAUUCGGAUUAAUACCGCAUAAUCUAUUCGUAGUAAAGUGGGGGACUUUCGAGCCUCACGCUAUCAGAUGAGCCUGCGUAAGAUUAGCUAGUUGGUAGGGUAAAAGCCUACCAAGGCUACGAUCUUUAGCUGGUCUGAGAGGAUGAUCAGCCACAUCGGGACUGAGACACGGCCCGAACUCCUACGGGAGGCAGCAGUGGGGAAUAUUGGACAAUGGGGGCAACCCUGAUCCAGCAAUACCGCGUGUGUGAAGAAGGCCUGAGGGUUGUAAAGCACUUUCAAUUGUGAAGAAAAGUUAACGGUUAAUAACCGUUAGCCUUGACGUUAACUUUAGAAGAAGCACCGGCUAACUCCGUGCCAGCAGCCGCGGUAAUACGGAGGGUGCAAGCGUUAAUCGGAAUUACUGGGCGUAAAGCGUGCGUAGGCGGUUUAUUAAGUCAGAUGUGAAAGCCCCGGGCUUAACCUGGGAACUGCAUUUGAAACUGGUCAACUAGAGUAUGGUAGAGGAAAGUGGAAUUUCUGGUGUAGCGGUGAAAUGCGUAGAUAUCAGAAGGAACAUCAAUGGCGAAGGCAGCUUUCUGGACCAAUACUGACGCUGAGGUACGAAAGCGUGGGUAGCAAACAGGAUUAGAUACCCUGGGUAGUCCACGCCGUAAACGAUGAUAACUAGCCGUUGGGGGGAUUUACCCUUUAGUGGCGAAGCUAACGCGUUAAGUUAUCCGCCUGGGGAGUACGGCCGCAAGGUUAAAACUCAAAGGAAUUGACGGGGACCCGCACAAGCGGUGGAGCAUGUGGUUUAAUUCGAUGCAACGCGAAGAACCUUACCUGGUCUUGACAUCCUGCGAACUUUCUAGAAAUAGAUUGGUGCCUUCGGGAACGCAGUGACAGGUGCUGCAUGGCUGUCGUCAGCUCGUGUCGUGAGAUGUUGGGUUAAGUCCCGUAACGAGCGCAACCCCUAUCCUUAUUUGCCAGCACGUCAUGGUGGGAACUAUAAGGAGACUGCCGGUGAUAAACCGGAGGAAGGCGGGGACGACGUCAAGUCAUCAUGGCCCUUACGACCAGGGCUACACACGUGCUACAAUGGGAAGGACAAAGAGCCGCGAAGCCGCGAGGUGUAGCUAAUCUCAGAAACCUUUUCGUAGUCCGGAUUGGAGUCUGCAACUCGACUCCAUGAAGUCGGAAUCGCUAGUAAUCGUAGAUCAGAAUGCUACGGUGAAUACGUUCCCGGGUCUUGUACACACCGCC
rnacentral:rRNA from 1 species